rnacentral:rRNA from 1 species
CCUACGGGUGGCAGCAGUGGGGAAUAUUGGGCAAUGGGCGCAAGCCUGACCCAGCAACGCCGCGUGAAGGAAGAAGGCUUUCGGGUUGUAAACUUCUUUUAAGAGGGAAGAGCAGAAGACGGUACCUCUUGAAUAAGCCACUGCUAACUACGUGCCAGCAGCCGCCGUCAUACGUAGGUGGCAAUCUUGGUCCGGAUUGACUGGGUGUAAAGGGCGUGCAGGCGGGAAGACAAGUCAGAUGUGAAAUCCGGAGGCUCAACCGCGGAACUGCAUAUGAAACUGUUUUUCUUGAGUACCGGAGAGGUAAUCGGAAUUCCUGGUGUAGCGGUGAAAUGCGUAGAUAUAAGGAAGAACACCAGUGGCGAAGGCGGAUGACUGGACGGUAACUGACGGUGAGGCGCGAAAGCGUGGGGAGCGAACAGGAUUAGAUACCCUUGUAGUC